rnacentral:rRNA from 1 species
UACAUGCAAGUCGAACGCUUCUUCUUUCACCGGAGCUUGCUCCACCGAAAGAAAAGGAGUGGCGAACGGGUGAGUAACACGUGGGUAACCUGCCCAUCAGAAGGGGAUAACACUUGGAAACAGGUGCUAAUACCGUAUAACAAUCGAAACCGCAUGGUUUCGGUUUGAAAGGCGCUUUUGCGUCACUGAUGGAUGGACCCGCGGUGCAUUAGCUAGUUGGUGAGGUAACGGCUCACCAAGGCAACGAUGCAUAGCCGACCUGAGAGGGUGAUCGGCCACAUUGGGACUGAGACACGGCCCAAACUCCUACGGGAGGCAGCAGUAGGGAAUCUUCGGCAAUGGACGGAAGUCUGACCGAGCAACGCCGCGUGAGUGAAGAAGGUUUUCGGAUCGUAAAACUCUGUUGUUAGAGAAGAACAAGGAUGAGAGUAGAAUGUUCAUCCCUUGACGGUAUCUAACCAGGAAGCCACGGCUAACUACGUGCCAGCAGCCGCGGUAAUACGUAGGUGGCAAGCGUUGUCCGGAUUUAUUGGGCGUAAAGCGAGCGCAGGCGGUUUCUUAAGUCUGAUGUGAAAGCCCCCGGCUCAACCGGGGAGGGUCAUUGGAAACUGGGAAACUUGAGUGCAGAAGAGGAGAGUGGAAUUCCAUGUGUAGCGGUGAAAUGCGUAGAUAUAUGGAGGAACACCAGUGGCGAAGGCGGCUCUCUGGUCUGUACUGACGCUGAGGCU